rnacentral:rRNA from 1 species
GUGGGCAGCCUACAANGNCAAGNUCGNAGACGGNUUACUUAGUACACACUCGGCCUCCAUUCGUGAGACAGUAGCGCAGAAGGGUGAUCAUACACACACUGACGUAGCUAGACCCUGUCCCCAGGAGCGGUGUUGACUCUUCAUAUGGGAAAAGCGCCCCUCAUACCAAAAUAUAAGCUUCAGCCGCUUGGUGAUGAUUUGGACAGAGUAUAGACUGGGAUGGACUCACAACCUAUCAGUUGGUUAGGGAGGUAAUGGCUCAACAGGCCAACCAUGGGUAGCCUGACAGAAAGAUUGACCGGCCUGCACUGUGACAGAGAGACCGACCUCAUUCCUAAGGCAGGAAUGAGGGGUUAAUAUCGCUACAAUGAGAGCAUGAUCCAUCCAUCCACCCCGCGUGAGGAACGACGGCCUUCAGGUAAGUAAACCUCUUUUAGUAGGAAAGACGCGAAACUGAUGGUUCCUGCAGAAAAAGCACCGGCUAACUACUUGCCAGCACCCUCCCAAAUACAUAGGAAGGAAGCAUUGUCCGGAAUUAAUGCGCAUAAAGAGCUCUUAGGCGGUUUGUCGCGUCUGCUGUGAAAAAAAGAGGCAUAACCACCGCCCAGCUGUGGGUUACGGCCUGACUACAUUGCGUUAUGGAGAAAUUGAAAUUCCUCCGGAAUGAAUGGAUUGCUCUCAUAACUGGAGGAACACCACUGGUGAAGGAAAAUCUCUGGUCCGUCACUGACUCUGAAGAGCGAAAGCAUGGGGAGCGAACAGGAUUGCAUACCCUGCUAGUCCAUCCCGUAGACUAUGCCAACAAGAAGUCGGGAUCAUUCCUCGGUCUC